rnacentral:rRNA from 1 species
GUAGGUGGCAAGCGUUGUCCGGAAUUAUUGGGCGUAAAGCGCGCGCAGGUGGUUCUUUAAGUCUGAUGUGAAAGCCCACGGCUCAACCGUGGAGGGUCAUUGGAAACUGGAGAACUUGAGUACAGAAGAGGAAAGCGGAAUUCCACGUGUAGCGGUGAAAUGCGUAGAGAUGUGGAGGAACACCAGUGGCGAAGGCGGCUUUCUGGUCUGUAACUGACGCUGAGGCGCGAAAGCGUGGGGAGCAAACAGGGAUUAGAUACCCUGGUAGUCCACGCCGUAAACGAUGAGUGCUAAGUGUUAGGGGGUUUCCGCCCCCUUAGUGCUGCAGCUAACGCAUUAAGCACUCCGCCUGGGGAGUACGGCCGCAAGGCUG